GAUGAACGCUGGCGGCGUGCUUAACACAUGCAAGUCGAACGGUAAAGCAGUGCUUGCUUGCUGUUACAGUUGGGGAGGGGCGGGUGGGACAGGAGUACAUCGCACUCUACUCUUUGGUGGGGGAUGACGAAGGGGUACUUAACCGGAUAUCGGAUACGACCGACGGGUGAGAGGUUGGGAAGUUUUUGCGGUCUGGGAUUGGAUCACGGCAUAUCCGCUUGGUUGUGUGGUAAGGGGUUACCAAGGCGUUGCCGGGUAGCGGGCCUGAGAGGGUGACCGGCCACACUGGGACUGAGACACGGCCCAGACUCCUACGGGAGGCAGCAGUGGGGAAUAUUGCACAAUGGGCGGAAGCCUGAUGCAGCAACGCCGCGUGAGGGAUGACGGCCUUCGGGUUGUAAACCGCUUUUAGCAGGGAAGAAGCGAGAGUGACGGUACCUGCAGAAGAAGCGCCGGCUAACUACGUG
rnacentral:rRNA from 1 species